rnacentral:lncRNA from 1 species
AUUUAUAUAUUUUUCCAUGUAUCAAUAUACCUCUCCUCCACUUAAAUAGAUAUCAGAUAUCAAACGUAACAUUAAGGAAGUAUCAAACAUGACCAAGUGGAAUACAACCUGAGAGGUCGUGGGAACGGGCACUGGCACAGAUUCAAUCGACUGGACCAAGAACGACUAAAGGUAUGCUCCUACGUCUCUGUUGGCAGGGGUGUAUCUACUGGACCUGGAUGGAACGUAACGCUAGACUCCAUCGCCAAACUUUCCGCUCAGCUGAUACGGUUAUGAGGCUUCUUGACAGACAGAUUCGAGACAGAAUCCUAUCAUUACGAUCCUCUAACCCAACCUCUUCCUCUCACCUAAUGCAGCAGUGGCUCGCUUGACUCUCUCCGAUCACAACACUUUCACCGUCGCCGUUCCACUUCCCUUCCAUCGUGAUC